ensembl:miRNA MIR6733 microRNA 6733
GUGCUUGGGAAAGACAAACUCAGAGUUCCCUUCUUGUGAGCUCAGUGUCUGGAUUUCCUAG